UCAAAAACAAAAUGUUUUGGUCCUGAGCCUGCCGUUAUUUUUUACUAAACUUACACAUGCAAGCAUCCACACUCCAGUGAAAAUGCCCACCUAAUCUUAAAAGACAAACGGAGCUGGUAUCAGGCACAACCUUUAUGCCAAUGACACCUUGCCCUGCCACACCCCCACGGGUUUACAGCAGUGAUUAAUAUUAAACAUAAGCGAAAGCUUGAUUUAGUUAUAGUACAAAGAGCCGGUAAAUUUCGUGCCAGCCACCGCGGUUAUACGAAAGACCCAAAAUAACGGCCCCCGGCGUAAAGCGUGGUUAGAAUCAAACAAGAUUAAGGAAAAACACCUUCUCCGCUGUAAAACGCUCAAGAAGACAAGAAUAUAGAUCCUUAAAACCAUUUAACACCACGAAAGCUGGGGUACAAACUGGGAUUAGAUACCCCACUAUGCCCAGCCGUAAACUUAGAUAGAAAAAUACUAUUUAUCCGCCAGAGAACUACAAGCAAAAUACUUAAAACUCAAAGGACUUGGCGGCAUUCCACAUCAACCUAGAGGAGCCCGUCCAAUAAUCGAUAAUACACGCUCAACCCUACCAUUUUUGGCCACUCCAGCCUAUAUACCGCCGUCGUCAGCUAACCUUGUGAAAGAAAAGUAGUAAGCACAAUAGCCCUCGCUAAAACGUCAGGUCAAGGUGUAGCUUAUAAAAUGGGUGCGAUAGGCUACAUUUUCUACUAUAGAAAACACGGAAAAUACAAUGAAACCUUGUAAUGGAAGGCGAAUUUAGAAGUAAAAUAAGAAAUGACCCUUAUUUUAACACCGCCCUGGAAUGCGCACACACCGCCCGUCACCCUCCUCAAAAUAACUAGAUGAGGUAAG
rnacentral:ncRNA from 1 species